rnacentral:snRNA from 1 species
CAAAUUUUAGUAUAUGUACCGCCGAAGCGAGUACAGAGAAGAUUAGCAUGGCCUCUGCGCAAAGAUGACACGCAAAAUCGUGUAGUGUUCCAUAUUUUU